rnacentral:rRNA from 1 species
UACGAAGGGGGCUAGCGUUGCUCGGAAUCACUGGGCGUAAAGCGCACGUAGGCGGAUCUUUAAGUCAGGGGUGAAAUCCUGGAGCUCAACUCCAGAACUGCCUUUGAUACUGGGGACCUCGAGUCCGGGAGAGGUGAGUGGAACUGCGAGUGUAGAGGUGAAAUUCGUAGAUAUUCGCAAGAACACCAGUGGCGAAGGCGGCUCACUGGCCCGGUACUGACGCUGAGGUGCGAAAGCGUGGGGAGCAAACAGG